AACGAACGCUGGCGGCAGGCUUAACACAUGCAAGUCGAACGCAUGCCUUCGGGCAUGAGUGGCAGACGGGUGAGUAACGCGUGGGAACCUACCCCUUGGUACGGGAUAGCUCCGGGAAACUGGAGAUAAUACCGUAUGUGUCCUGAGGGACAAAGAUUCAUCGCAAAGGGAUGGGCCCGCGUCGGAUUAGCUAGUUGGUGGGGUAACGGCCUACCAAGGCGACGAUCCGUAGCUGGUCUAAGAGGAUGAUCAGCCACAUUGGGACUGAGACACGGCCCAAACUCCUACGGGAGGCAGCAGUGGGGAAUAUUGGACAAUGGGCGCAAGCCUGAUCCAGCCAUGCCGCGUGAGUGAUGAAGGCCCUAGGGUUGUAAAGCUCUUUCACCGGUGACGAUAAUGACGGUAACCGGAGAAGAAGCCCCGGCUAACUUCGUG
rnacentral:rRNA from 1 species